AGCACACAGAGGGAGGCCCAUCCAGGGAGCAAGGCCAGAGGCCGUCAUCACUGUCACGAGGUGGCGGUUAUUGAGUUCUUGCGAGAAGCAUAUCUCAGUCUCAAGUAGAGGGCAAACAUUUUAGUUUGAGGGGAUUUGGGGGGGGGGGGGGCAACGGCUUGCGCCGUAAGCCGGAGGAGCUCGGAUAGCCAGUGGCAGAGGGAGGACGUGGGGUCGCUGACGCCAUGUGUAAGGCUCUUCGCGGAACCCCUGCCUCCUCCUCUCUGCCUUGGCCGUGGGUGGCGCCCCUUCUCACAUCUCAGCCAGUUCCGCGGGCGAAGCAGCGGACUCGAACACGGCUCGGUGCCGCCACGCCUCAAUCGAACUUGCGAGAGCCGCUGAUGCUAAUCAGUAGUAGAGCACGCGUGUACCCGUCUGGGUGUGGAGGAGACGAGGGCUGGCAUGCAUGCGAACUCCGUUUCGUUGUGCCUUCUCCGCCGCAGUAGUUCCUGCUGCUGCUGCUGCAUGCGACUCUUCUCUCCUCCCUGUUCAGUGGCCAGCUCUCGUUCUGGGAAAGGGGGAUGGAGAUGGCACAAGCAGAGAAGCUCUCGAUGAUGUGCCGACGAUGAGAGCAUGGCAAAAGAACGUUCAUCGCCAGGUCUGUGUGUGUGUGUGUGUGGGUGUGUGGGUGGGUGGGUAUGGCGGCGGUGCUGGCGCGCGAGAACAUUGAGUUCUGCUCUCUUUGCGUUUCUUCUUCGAAAAUAAAAAUAAAACAUGUGCACGCACUUGCCGGUUAGCAGCGGGGAGUUGAGGGAGGAGGCGGUUGUGGAUCCGAUCCGCUGCGGUCCUUUCCUCCCUCACCGCGCCUGUCGGCUCCGGGUGCCCCCGUCGCAGUUGUUGAGCUCCCUUCGCUCUUGUUGUUUUUCUCGUGUUGCGUCUCCAAGCGAAUGCGAAGCGUGUGGCGAUGUGCCGGUGGGCAGUGUGCGCGUCUGUACACGCUUGGCGAAAAGCG
rnacentral:misc_RNA from 1 species